rnacentral:rRNA from 1 species
GCAUGCCUAUACAUGCAGUCGAACGAACUUCCGUUAAUUGAUUAUGACGUACUUGUACUGAUUGAGAUUUUAACACGAAGUGAGUGGCGAACGGGUGAGUAACACGUGGGUAACCUGCCCAGAAGUAGGGGAUAACACCUGGAAACAGAUGCUAAUACCGUAUAACAGAGAAAACCGCAUGGUUUUCUUUUGAAAGAUGGCUCUGCUAUCACUUCUGGAUGGACCCGCGGCGUAUUAGCUAGUUGGUGAGGUAAAGGCUCACCAAGGCAGUGAUACGUAGCCGACCUGAGAGGGUAAUCGGCCACAUUGGGACUGAGACACGGCCCAGACUCCUACGGGAGGCAGCAGUAGGGAAUCUUCCACAAUGGACGCAAGUCUGAUGGAGCAACGCCGCGUGAGUGAAGAAGGGUUUCGGCUCGUAAAGCUCUGUUGUUAAAGAAGAACGUGGGUAAGAGUAACUGUUUACCCAGUGACGGUAUUUAACCAGAAAGCCACGGCUAACUACGUGCCAGCAGCCGCGGUAAUACGUAGGUGGCAAGCGUUAUCCGGAUUUAUUGGGCGUAAAGCGAGCGCAGGCGGUCUUUUAAGUCUAAUGUGAAAGCCUUCGGCUCAACCGAAGAAGUGCAUUGGAAACUGGGAGACUUGAGUGCAGAAGAGGACAGUGGAACUCCAUGUGUAGCGGUGAAAUGCGUAGAUAUAUGGAAGAACACCAGUGGCGAAGGCGGCUGUCUGGUCUGCAACUGACGCUGAGGCUCGAAAGCAUGGGUAGCGAACAGGAUUAGAUACCCUGGUAGUCCAUGCCGUAAACGAUGAUUACUAAGUGUUGGAAGGGUUUCCGCCCUUCAGUGCUGCAGCUAACGCAUUAAGUAAUCCGCCUGGGGGAGUACGACCGCAAGGUUGAAACUCAAAAGAAUUGACGGGGGCCCGCACAAGCGGUGGAGCCAGGUGGUUUAAUUCGAAGCUACGCGAAGAACCUUACCAGGUCUUGACAUCUUCUGACAGUCUAAGAAGAUUAGAGGUUCCCUUCGGGGACAGAAUGACAGGUGGGUGCAAGGGUUGUCGUCAGCUCCUGUCCUGAGAAAUUUUGGGGUUAAGUCCCCGCACCGAGCGCAACCCUUAUUACUAGUUGCCAGCAUUAAGUUGGGGACUCUAUUGGAGACUGCCGGUGACAAACCCGGAGGAAAGGGGGGGGAGGAAAAUCAAAUAAUCAAUGGCCCUUUAUAACCUGGGGCUACACC